UACGAAGGGGGCUAGCGUUGCUCGGAAUUACUGGGCGUAAAGGGCGCGUAGGCGGCACUGUUAGUCAGGCGUGAAAGUCCUGGGCUCAACCUGGGAACUGCGCUUGAUACGGCAGAGCUAGAGGAUGGAAGAGGGUCGCGGAAUUCCCAGUGUAGAGGUGAAAUUCGUAGAUAUUCGCAAGAACACCAGUGGCGAAGGCGGCUCACUGGCUCGGUACUGACGCUGAGGUGCGAAAGCGUGGGGAGCAAACAGG
rnacentral:rRNA from 1 species